GUGGGGAAUCUUGCGCAAUGGGCGAAAGCCUGACGCAGCCAUGCCGCGUGAAUGAUGAAGGUCUUAGGAUUGUAAAAUUCUUUCACCGGGGACGAUAAUGACGGUACCCGGAGAAGAAGCUCCGGCUAACUUCGUGCCAGCAGCCGCGGUAAUACGAAGGGGGCUAGCGUUGCUCGGAAUUACUGGGCGUAAAGGGCGCGUAGGCGGACAGCUUAGUCAGAGGUGAAAGCCCAGGGCUCAACCGUGGAAUUGCCUUUGAUACUGGCUGUCUUGAGUUUGGGAGAGGUGAGUGGAACUCCGAGUGUAGAGGUGAAAUUCGUAUAUAUUCGGAAGAACACCAGUGGCGAAGGCGACUCACUGGCCCAAUACUGACGCUGAGGCGCGAAAGCGUGGGGAGCAAACAGGAUUAGAAACCCCAGUAGUCC
rnacentral:rRNA from 1 species